rnacentral:rRNA from 1 species
UACGGGGGGAGCAAGCGUUGUUCGGAUUUACUGGGCGUAAAGGGCGCGUAGGCGGCCACCGCAAGUCGACUGUGAAAUCUCCGGGCUUAACCCGGAAAGGUCAGCCGAUACUGCGGGGCUAGAGUGCAGAAGGGGCAACUGGAAUUCUCGGUGUAGCGGUGAAAUGCGUAGAUAUCAGGAGGGAUACCGGUGGCGAAGGCGGCCUUCUGGACGAUGACUGACGCUGAGACGCGAAAGCGUGGGGAGCAAACAGG